rnacentral:lncRNA from 1 species
UGGAGGUAUUUAAGAGAUGGCUGAACCACGAAGGGCCGUGGUUUAGCGAUGGGGCUCUGUAGGCCCUGAGGGUUGGAUCUUGAAGGUCUUCUCCAUCCUAGCUGGUUCUGUGGUAUCUUCUGCGUACAAAAAUAACGGCUGCUUCUGCUCCUCACCCUGUUCCCACCAGCGUGCUCCAGGUGGAAACCUAACCAACCCCUCAGUCGUGUCCUAGAGGGGUAGCACACCCUGGCUCCAUGGUCCUGGGGCCCCAUCCUGGCCCACGUCCUGUGGUGAAGGGAUGCACGGAGAAGGGGGGAGACUCUUGAGAACCUGACCACAGGCAAAACGGUGGAGACCUGGAGGAUCUUCUUGCCCACCUCCGGUUGGGAUGAUGUCCAAAGCCGCUGAGAACAGGUCGGGAGUGGUACCAGCCAGCAGCACCCCGCUGCUCCUUGCCUAAACGCUGAGGAGAGCAGGGACGAGGAUCCUGCAGCAUCCAGAUUUACUGGAAAAUAAUUAGAUUUGUUGGGAAAAAAAAAAAUAAAUAAAUUCUAUGCUGGCCAGAGAGGUUUCCUGGGCAGUCCCGUGGACAUCUCAGUGCUGAGAGCAAGCAGGUUGGAUCCUGCCUGUGGGAGCUGGGCAGGGUGGACAUCACCUGAAGGUCCAUUUCUCAGGCUGGGGCAGAUGUUUCCAGUAAUUGAAGUUUUUUCUGGAAAAAUGAAUCCGAAAGAACAAGUUGUCACAUCAGGGCUUGUUACAUAGCGAGGAAAGCGAAACACAGGAUCAGUGCUGAGCAACCCCAGGAAAGGGGAAACGGAGCCAGGGCGGUUCCACUGAGCUCGUGUUUCCUGCCCGUCCUCAGACACCACCACAGGAGCUUCCUAAAGCCUGAGUCAACUCUGGCAGGAUGGGAACUGCCCACCGUGGAGGAGCAGCUCUUCCGCCCCCGGGUGCCUGGGAUGGAUAUUUCAGCAACCCCAGAAACGGGACUGCUCCAGGUAGGUCCACAGCUUCCCCCCUCGCUGCUCUGCACCAUCAGGAUCCCUCAGCAUCCUGCUCUGAGCUUGGGGUGCUUUGCUGAACCUGCUUGGGGCGCAGUGGCUCCUGCUUCAGCCCCAUCCAGAGGGGAGACCCAGUUCUGCCCCUGGCUGGCUGGGGGGACCUCGGCCCUUUUGGGGUGGCUGUGAGGUGAGCUGGGACCUCCCUCCACCUCCCUGAGGCUGUUUCCAUGCAGACAGCAGCGGGGCAGAGCUCUGCAAUGCAGCCGGAAAAUAUGUGUGCUUUGGGAUUGCUGGAAAAAUGAGCCCCGAGGGAAAUGAGGGCAGGUUUGGCCAUGGCUCAAAACCCAUGCGGUCUUGGGGUCAGGGACAUGUGCAGCCAGUCCGCCCUGGUUGCUGGCAGCACCCAGAGAGUAGCCUUGGCAUGUAAAAUCC